GUCUGUGGCAAAAGGGUUCAGUGAAGACAGGAAGCAGCUGUAUCAUGUGGGGCUGGGAUCUGCUCACCCAAGUGUAAUGACCUAUUUUCCAGCUUUUCCGCUCAGCCUCCCUGAUUCUACAAGCUUUCUGAAGGUGAAUCAGGAUUUGGGUGAAUUGUAGAAGAGCUCAGCUCCCUGGAAGGAGACUGCCCUGCAUGUGAGAACUGAACAGAAAGAAAAGUUAGCAGGACUCCCUGAUUCCAUGCACCAGUGGGCACAGAGAGAGAAGACAACACAGCCUUGACAGACAGGAGACCUGCUCAACCCCAGGGAGACUGUCUCCAGCAGCAACUUCUACUCUUAAGACCAACCAGACCCCAACUCAACACAAUGUCUCCUCUGCUGGAUUCUCUGCCCAUUUCUCCUCUGACAACAAGUGCACCAGGACAGCCACAUCUGCACUUCCAAAUCCCACAAGCUGAACACAAACCAUCCAGUACCAGCACAGCUGACUCCAUUCAUGAAAUCACUCAUAUUAUCUUGUUCAUGAAUGAACUAUGAAUGGAAGUAAUUCCUGAGUCAGGAACAGGUGGAGGCGAAGAAUGGACUAAAGUGAAGGAAAGUAUGAAGAAAGGAGAACAAAAGCAAAAAAUAAACACAGAAUGA